AGAGUUUGAUCAUGGCUCAGGAUGAACGCUGGCGGUAUGCCUAACACAUGCAAGUCGAACGAUGUCUUCGGACAUAGUGGCGGACGGGUGAGUAACGCGUGAGAAUCUGCCUCUAGGAUGGGGAUAACGGUUGGAAACGACCGCUAACACCCAAUAUGCCGUAAGGUGAAAAAUUUAUUGCCUGGAGAGGAGCUCGCGUCUGAUUAGCUAGUUGGUGGGGUAAGAGCUCACCAAGGCUUCGAUCAGUAGCUGGUCUGAGAGGAUGAGCAGCCACACUGGGACUGAGACACGGCCCAGACUCCUACGGGAGGCAGCAGUGGGGAAUUUUCCGCAAUGGGCGAAAGCCUGACGGAGCAAUACCGCGUGAGGGAGGAAUGCCUUUGGGUUGUAAACCUCUUUUCUCAGGGAAGAAGAUCUGACGGUACCUGAGGAAUAAGUAUCGGCUAACUCCGUGCCAGCAGCCGCGGUAAUACGGAGGAUGCAAGCGUUAUCCGGAAUCAUUGGGCGUAAAGCGUCCGCAGGUGGUUUCCAAAGUCUGCUGUUAAAGACUGGAGCUCAACUCCGGAACGGCGGUGGAAACUUGGAAACUAGAGUUCGGUAGGGGUAGCAGGAAUCCCCAGUGUAGCGGUGAAAUGCGUAGAUAUUGGGAAGAACAUCGGUGGCGAAGGCGUGCUACUGGACCGUAACUGACACUCAGGGACGAAAGCUAGGGGAGCGAAAGGGAUUAGAUACCCCUGUAGUCCUAGCUGUAAACGAUGGAAACUAGGUGUGGCUUGUAUCGACCCGAGCCGUGCCGUAGCUAACGCGUUAAGUUUCCCGCCUGGGGAGUAC
rnacentral:rRNA from 1 species